rnacentral:lncRNA from 12 species
CCUCACCGCCCCGCCCCUCACGGCCCUGAGGGCGCCGCGCCCGGCCGGGGGUCCCGCGGCGCUGCCGGUGUCACACGGGGGCAGCGGCAGAGGUGCCAGCCGGGUGUGCUGUGGGGGAGAGCUCUCGCCGGUGCCAGAGCCCCUCUUACCUCCCGCAGUCACCGGAGCCGCUUUCCCCCGGCUCCUGGCGGUGUUCGGCCUUCAGGGGGUGCUGCCAGCUCCUCAGGGGGCAGGGGAUGGUUUUCAUGGGGAAUGGCUCUCCAGUGCCGUCUCCAGCGGCCUCCCUUGGCCUUUGGAGCAGGUUUUUCCUGCAUCUGGAAUUAGGACUCUGGGUGGUUAAUGGAAGGAAUCAGCAUAUGGGAAUCUUCUCAGCAGCUGGUUCCUGCUGUUCCCAGGAAAGGUGAUGCAUCUGCAAGGGCUGGCAGUGUCACCGACCCCCUCACCCGGGUUGAUCUGUCCUGUGUUUGCCCUGGGGGUGUCAUCAGAGCCUGGUCAGGAGAGGUGGAACCAGCCCUUGGCGUCACAAAAGAGUGGCAUGAGUUUGCAGUGCACAUGCUUGGAAGUUGUGGAAUGAGAGUAAAUAACUGUGUCCAGUUUUGGAGCAGGACAGGAAAAGGGUGUGCAUUUACCACCCCUCCUCCAAGGCAGAACGUGGUUCAAAAAUUUCAAAAUUUUGCAAACUAUUGGAAAAUAUGUCUGAACCCUGUGAAAUAAUUAAAACACAGAUUAUUCCUGCCCAGGCUUGAAUCCUAGAAUCAUUUAGGUUGGAAAAGACCUCCAAAAUCAUUGAGUCCAACCUGGCACAAGGAUCAGCCCUCACUUUACUCCAGCUGAUUGUUCCAAGUGAUUCCUCAGCCUCUCCUCACAUGCCUUCCCCUCCAGACCCUUCACCAUCUUCACAGC